rnacentral:lncRNA from 1 species
ACGGAUACAUAUGUAAAAAUAAAGAUUAAAAAAUAGAAUAACAAAAUAAGUAUUUUAGGAGGUAUACAUGUAAUUAUUAAUUUUGAGAUGGUAUGCAUAUAAAAUUUGAUAUUAGGAGGUAGUCAUAAAAAAAAAAAAGCCUUUAAAAGAGAGAGAGAGAGAGAGAGAGAGAGAGAGAGAGAGAGAGAGAGAGAGAGAGAAGAAGAANNNNNNNNNNNNNNNNNNNNGACGCACUGUCCUAAAACCGUUAUUGCUCCCCACGUGCAGGUAUUGGCGGUCAGCGACGGCUCCAAGAUACAACCCAAACGGCUCACAGCGGGCCUAAUCUACAGUGCACGUCUAUAGUAGGCAGAUUACCUAGUCUAUAUCGGUUGCCCAAUAAUAUAGAAAAUUGUAAAAGAGAGAAUGGUGGUAGAGAGAAACAAUGAGAGGAAGAAGAAGGGUUUUGUAUUGUAUUUUUUGUUAGAUACAAGGAAUGGCUCUUUUAUAGGCCUUUUGUCAUCCAACCAUAACGGUUGAAUACUUAUGGCCUCAUUAAGGCCAUAAUGAAAGAUAAUGGGAAGUUUUGAAACUUCCAAAUGGAAUUUGAAAAACUUAAAGGUUAUAACAACUCUUUUAAAAAUUUGGGGGUUACAAAUCUUUUUUAUUUACACCUCUUUAAAACUUUUCAAAAUUUAUUCAAAUUCCAACAG